CAGCAGCCGCGGUAAAACGAAGGGUGCAAGCGUUAAUCGGAAUUACUGGGCGUAAAGCGUGCGUAGGCGGUGAGUUAAGUCUGCUGUGAAAUCCCCGGGCUCAACCUGGGAAUGGCAGUGGAUACUGGCUCGCUAGAGUGUGUCAGAGGAUGGUGGAAUUCCCGGUGUAGCGGUGAAAUGCGUAGAGAUCGGGAGGAACAUCAGUGGCGAAGGCGGCCAUCUGGGACAACACUGACGCUGAGGCACGAAAGCGUGGGGAGCAAACAGGAUUAGAUACCCGCGUAGUCCCUGUCUCUUAUAC
rnacentral:rRNA from 1 species